AACCGACCCGAACCCGAACCGAA
rnacentral:siRNA from 1 species